CCUUAUAGGUAGUCAACAUGAAGUUGUUGAUUGGAAUCCAGGAUUACAUCAGACCUUGUUACUGGAUAACUAUGUGAGUGGAGAGCUUUCUGGGGUCUUUGGAGGUUCAUGUUCUUGGGGAUGCCCAAGGUUGAGCUGGAUGGGGUGCUGAUGGUCCCUGUUCACUGCUGGAGGAUUGGACUAGAUGGCCUUUAAGGGUCCCUUCCAACUCAAAUGAUUUUAUGAUUCUAUAUUGUAAAUUCUCCUCAGUUAUGUGGACUGAAAUUUUCCUGUUUUUCAUUUCGUAUGCGAAGAACUCUGGACUUAGGCAAUAGAGUAAUAAGGGAUUUGGUAAUGCUAGAGUAAGAAGACAAACUCUUUUAGCAUUCUUAUAUAAUUCUGUUGUAAAUCAUAGCAACAACCAUACUGCAGUGGUGGGAUGCUGGUGGCAUUGCAGUGUUUAAGUAUGUGCACUUGACCCAGGUAACUAGGUAAAUGUUGGUGAAACUGUGACAAAGCUCAAGUCCUCCCCAUUGCAGAGAGAGGGUACAAAGUCCAUUUGUUUCUGAGUACUAUUUGCCUGUUCAAAAUCUGGUUCUGUUAACAACCAGAGUGGCAUGUAGCUGUUGUGCUCGUCCUUUGCAGAGGCUGAAUUUCAGAACAAGUAACUACAAAGGAAACGUGUGUCAGAACGCUUUAAAAAACCUUUUUCCUGAUUGUUUUGUGCAGCCACAUCGGGAGUUUUUUGAAGCCUUUUUUUUUUUCCCCAAGUUUAUCUGGUUCCAGCAGGAGGAAGAUGAAUGCGCGGUAGUGUUGAAAAGAUCAUUUCAUUCUUCCAUGUGAACUUAUGUUAAAGCAUCUCGCUUAAGAGAAUAAAUGAUGUGUCAUAACCUGAACCCAUACAGAAUGUGGACGGAAUGCUAAUGAUCUUCUUGCCUUGUUUUUUCCGUUGUGUUGGAUGAACUCAAAGCAUUGAUGAGCUCUCUGACUCUAUGAUAAAAAUGAAAUGUUAUGCUGCAAAGCUUCACUCCCAGAGAUAACCUUCUUAACUGGCCUACUGCUGUACCUGUAACUGAGCCAUAGACGUGGAGGAAGUGGUUAAACUCAUCCAUUUCAUGUUUGGCACUAAGUGUCUAUGCUCACUGCUGCCCUGGAAGCGAUGCAUUUCUUCAAGCUGCUCCUGGAGGAAUUAACUUUGGAAAUAAUUUGUAGCAUGUGACCGUGUUUUUUUUUCUUUGUCAGGUCUGACAAAAGGCAAAACAGUUCCCUGUGCUUCUCUACAGCAAUCAGGAGCAUCUUUGUUACAAAUGACAAAAAAAAAAAAAAAGAAUUAGUGGCAGAAAUUCUGAAGUGUGCAAAUAAAAUAAAAGCUUCCCAUUUUGCU
rnacentral:lncRNA from 7 species